rnacentral:tRNA from 1 species
GCUGAUAUAGCUCAGUUGGUAGAGCGCACCAUUGCUAAGGGUGCGGCCAGCAGUUAGAAUCUGCCUAUCAGCACCA